UACGGGGGGGGGCAAGCGUUGUUCGGAAUUACUGGGCGUAAAGGGCUCGUAGGCGGCCAACUAAGUCAGACGUGAAAUCCCUCGGCUUAACCGGGGAACUGCAUCUGAUACUGGAUGGCUUGAGUUCGGGAGAGGGAUGCGGAAUUCCAGGUGUAGCGGUGAAAUGCGUAGAUAUCUGGAGGAACACCGGUGGCGAAGGCGGCAUCCUGGGUCAAGAUUGACGCUCAUGCACGAAAGCGUGGGGAGCAAACAGG
rnacentral:rRNA from 1 species